AUAAAACCCACUGAUUUGUUUGGUGGCUAGGUUCAUUAUUAUCCAAAAUACUUGGCAGUGGAAAUAAGAAUCUAUGCAGAACCCAGAAAAACAUUUUUCCCUUUUUCAAUUAUUUAAUAUGUAUUAUAUGAAUUAAUGCAAUACAUGGAUUAAUCAGGUGUAUUUCUACUUGAAGGCCGAAGCACUUUUAUUAAUAAUAUUGUUUAAUAGAUACCAUAUUUAGUACUUUUAAGCUUACCUCUAGGACUUACAUAUUAGUGUCAUCUUAAUAUUGUUUUUACAAUCUUAUUUUACUUUAUAUUUCUAGAUAUUGUAAUUGCAGUGAAUGUCCUUGGGUUUAUGUUUUAAAUGAUAGUAUAAUACAUCAGAAAAGUUUCUUGACCAUAGUUUCUAUAAAGUUUAAGAGUAUAGGAAAGUUUUCACUAAUUUAGUAGAAAAUUACAGUGGUAACAAUUAAAACUAUUAUUUUUAAAUUGGCAGAUACAGAAUUCAUUCAUUCUUCAGGUUUAU
rnacentral:lncRNA from 1 species